AUACGUCAAAUAUAUCAGUGGGGUGCAAUUUUACCGAGGAAAUAUAUCAAAAGGGUAGCAAUUGGUGUCCAUAGGAAUGCCUACAACCUGUAAAUCAACUUUCAAUGAUUGCCGAAUCGUACAUAGAUGUUGCUAAGAAGAAAACUUACAGCUUUUAUCACCCUCUCACAAUUCCAGUUUAUCGAUACUAGGAAACAGCCUGUGAUGACAAAAGGCUGUAAUAAUACGGAUGUAUUCAUACAACGGGCUGAAAAAUUAAAUUUUAUCACACUCCAGAAAAAUAUCAUAUAGUUUACUUAUUGGUAUAUGACCAAGUUUGCAUAGUAAUUGAUGUCUACCAUUAUUUUGUAUUAUAGAUAAUAGAUCAGCAAGUGUAUAAUUUAUACGAUGUUUAAUACGUAGAUACGUUUACCAUGAGAAUGCACGUUUUUAUUUUGCUAAUUAACCAUCUAUGACUACACUCAGUUUUAGCCAUUUAGAAAUAUUCUAGUGGUUUUUUUUAAUAGAUUGAUGUUAUUUA